CAGAUUUUAGUAUAUAGUAUAUAUUUUAUUUACAAUAAAAGGAGGAUUGUGCAAUUCAAUUAAGUUUGA
rnacentral:tRNA from 1 species